UGGAUUGGGGGGGUUCUACGGAACCCGUUUGGUGAAUCUAGUGCCGAGAAAAGCCUUCUAUGUUUGAAUUUCUAGUACCCGUACCCCAAACCGACACAGGUGGGUGGGUAGAGCAUACCUAGGGGCGCGUGAUAACUCUCUCUAAGGAACUCGGCAAAAUGGCCCUGUAACUUCGGGAUAAGGGGUGCCUGCGUGAGCAGGCCGCAGUGAAAUGGCUCUGGCGACUGUUUACCAAAAACACAGGUCUCUGCUAAGUCGUAAGACGAUGUAUAGGGGCUGACUCCUGCCCAGUGCCGGAAGGUUAAGGAAGUUGGUUAGCGCAAGCGAAGCUGGCGACCGAAGCCCCGGUGAACGGCGGCCGUAACGAUAACGGUCCUAAGGUAGCGAAAUUCCUUGUCGGGUAAGUUCCGACCCGCACGAAAGGAGUAACGAUCAGAGCGCUGUCUCGGAGAGAGACACGGCGAAAUAGGAUUGUCCGUGAAGAUACGGACUACCUGCACCCGGACAGAAAGACCCUAUGAAGCUUUACUGUAACUUGGAAUUGUGUUCAGACUUUGUCUGCGCAGAAUAGGUGGGAGGCUAUGAAACGUUCCUCGCGGGGAACUGGAGCCAUCGUUGAGAUACCACUCUGGCAGAGUCUGGAUUCUAACCUACGGGGACAGUUCCAGGUGGGCAGUUUGACUGGGGCGGUCGCCUCCUAAAAUGUAACGGAGGCGCGCAAAGGUUCCCUCAGGCUGGUUGGAAAUCAGCCAUAGAGUGUAAAAGCAUAAGGGAGCUUGACUGUGAGACCUACAAGUCGAGCAGGGACGAAAGUCGGCUUUAGUGAUCCGACGGCACUGAGUGGAAGGGCCGUCGCUCAACGGAUAAAAGUUACUCUAGGAUAACAGGCUGAUCUCCCCCAAGAGUUCACAUCGACGGGGAGGUUUGGCACCUCGAUGUCGGCUCGUCGCAACCUGGGGCGGUAGUACGUCCCAAGGGUUGGGCUGUUCGCCCAUUAAAGCGGCACGUGAGCUGGGUUCAGAACGUCGUGAGACAGUUCGGUCCAUAUCCGGUGUAGGCGUAGGAGCAUUGAAAGGAUCUCUCCUUAGUACGAGAGGACCGGGAGGGACGUACCUCUGGUGUACCUGUUAUCGUGCCAACGGUAAACGCAGGGUAGCCAUGUACGGAGUGGAUAACCGCUGAAAGCAUCUAAGUGGGAAGCCCACCUUAAGAUGAGUGCUCCCUUGAGGCCACGGGAAGACGACCCGUUUGAUAGGCGCUAGGUGGAAGUGCAGUAAUGCAUGCAGCCGAGGCGUACUAAUAGGCCGAUGGCUUGUC
rnacentral:rRNA from 1 species